rnacentral:lncRNA from 1 species
AACAGCAGCUGUAGAAGCCUGAGAAGAUGAGAGAGUCAAGUCCUUAGAGGGACUGAAAGCAGAGACAUAACAGCACAAAACGAGAUGGGAAAGUGACGGAGCAACACAUGAGUCUGUAAUGAGUGGGAUUUAGGUGGGCAGCAGCACUUGGUUAUUUACAAGUUCAGGAUCCUCUUUAUAAAGCAAGGAAAGAUUGCUAUCUGUCUCCAGCACUAUGGCGAGAUAAUUAAUAGGAGCACUGCUGGAGACUGAUAGUGCAGGCGGCCGAUACCCGUGGCAGGAGCUCUCGUCAUCUAACUGCCACAGAAUUGUGAAGGUAAAGAAUCUGCAGAAAAGUGGAACA